rnacentral:rRNA from 1 species
GACGAACGCUGGCGGCGUGCUUAACACAUGCAAGUCGAACGGAAAGGCCCUGCUUUUGUGGGGUGCUCGAGUGGCGAACGGGUGAGUAACACGUGAGUAACCUGCCCUUGACUUUGGGAUAACUUCAGGAAACUGGGGCUAAUACCGGAUAGGAGCUCCUGCUGCAUGGUGGGGGUUGGAAAGUUUCGGCGGUUGGGGAUGGACUCGCGGCUUAUCAGCUUGUUGGUGGGGUAGUGGCUUACCAAGGCUUUGACGGGUAGCCGGCCUGAGAGGGUGACCGGCCACCUUGGGACUGAGGUACGGCCCAGACUCCUACGGGAGGCAGCAGUGGGGAAUAUUGCACAAUGGGCGGAAGCCUGAUGCAGCAACGCUGCGUGCGGGAUGACGGCCUUCGGGUUGUAAACCGCUUUCGCCUGUGACGAAGCGUGAGUGACGGUAAUGGGUAAAGAAGCACCGGCUAACUACGUG